rnacentral:rRNA from 1 species
UGGGGAAUUUUGGACAAUGGGCGAAAGCCUGAUCCAGCAAUGCCGCGUGUGUGAAGAAGGCCUUCGGGUUGUAAAGCACUUUUGUCCGGAAAGAAAUCCUUGGCUCUAAUACAGUCGGGGGAUGACGGUACCGGAAGAAUAAGCACCGGCUAACUACGUGCCAGCAGCCGCGGUAAUACGUAGGGUGCAAGCGUUAAUCGGAAUUACUGGGCGUAAAGCGUGCGCAGGCGGUUUGCUAAGACCGAUGUGAAAUCCCCGGGCUCAACCUGGGAACUGCAUUGGUGACUGGCAGGCUAGAGUAUGGCAGAGGGGGGUAGAAUUCCACGUGUAGCAGUGAAAUGCGUAGAGAUGUGGAGGAAUACCGAUGGCGAAGGCAGCCCCCUGGGCCAAUACUGACGCUCAUGCACGAAAGCGUGGGGAGCAAACAGGAUUAGAUACCCUGGUAGUCCACGCCCUAAACGAUGUCACUAGUUGUUGGGGAUUCAUUUCCUUAGUAACGUAGCUAACGCGUGAAGUUGACCGCCUGGGGAGUACGGUCGCAAGAUUAAAACUCAAAGGAAUUGACGGGGUCAUA